GUUUUAAUAGUUUAAAUUUAAAAUAAUGGUCUUGUAAGCCGUAGAUAGAAUAAAUUCUUUAAAACU
rnacentral:tRNA from 1 species